UAGAGACCUCCUUCGGGUUGACACAGAAAAACUAAUCAACAUUCUUUGACUGUGGUUGCUCAUCCAGCUAUGACUCCACUUCCUGUCCUCUGACCCAAUUCUCAUUUCCCCAUCAUGUCCUCAAGGGCACCAGACUGUAGGCUUCCUGAAAGCUGGGAGGUUUGUCUUGUCCACCUGUGUAUCCUCAGCAUCUAGCACAGCAGAAUGCCAGUACUGAACUGUAGCAGCCAAAGAAAAAAGAUUCCAGAAGAGUUCACUUUAAGCAAAAUGAUCUUGAACAAGAAGAUCUAUCCUGCUCCCCUAGUGCAGACGCAGGCUGAAGAGACAUGCCUCUCAUCUGGAUCAUCGUGCAAGGGCCUUUUGGACACUAUCAGAAAGGAAUAUGAAGAAGUGAAAAUUGAUCCUGGGAAAGUUAUCCAUGCUGAUUAUCAACAAAGAAUAGGGAAAUGCUGAAGUUGGUUAGCAUCCAGAAGUGAGAUCCUUACUCUGGCACCACCUGGGAGCUACAUGGAAGAAAGUGAGUUGGCAUAACUCUUCUUUUCUGACAUGGUGGAUUCAGAAGGUGUAAUGGGUGAACCAGGACAACUAGUUUCCAAUCCCAGCUCUUCAGAACCUUCAUUCCUUGACCCCCAGCAGAGUCAGAAGCUUGUUGAUUCUGCAGUUCUGGAAAGUGAUGGUUAAGUCAAAACCUCCUUGAAUGGAAUGGAAGAUGAUCUACAGCCAAGAAGGCUGAGCCCUUGGCUCUCAUCUUGUGAGAUGUUCAAUCUCUUUGGGCUGACCCCUGGUUUCUAAACAUUCUCUCUCAGUCACACCUCUCAAUAGAUGCCUGGGUUUUUAUUUGGGAAAUCUAAAGCUGGCAAUAACUUUAGAGGAGACCAAAAUGUUGGGCCACGGGAGACCAACAAGGGUUUCAAUAAAUGGAACUUCGGCAUUUAAGAGACUCAAAUCCAAUUCCCUCAUAAAAGUUCCUGAAAAUAAAGAUUAUCCACUUA